rnacentral:rRNA from 1 species
AUUGAACGCCGGCGGCAUGCCUAAUACAUGCAAGUCGAACGAUCCCUUCGGGGAUAGUGGCGCACGGGUGCGUAACGCGUGGGAAUCUGCCCUUGGGUUCGGAAUAACGUCGGGAAACUGACGCUAAUACCGGAUGAUGACGUAAGUCCAAAGAUUUAUCGCCCAGGGAUGGGCCCGCGUAGGAUUAGCUAGUUGGUGGGGUAAAGGCCUACCAAGGCGACGAUCCUUAGCUGGUCUGAGAGGAUGAUCAGCCACACUGGGACUGAGACACGGCCCAGACUCCUACGGGAGGCAGCAGUAGGGAAUAUUGGACAAUGGGGGCAACCCUGAUCCAGCAAUGCCGCGUGAGUGAUGAAGGCCUUAGGGUUGUAAAGCUCUUUUACCCGGGAUGAUGAUGACAGUACCGGGAGAAUAAGCCCCGGCUAACUCCGUGCCAGCAGCCGCCGUAAUAC